GCGCGCAAUUACCCAAUCCUGACUCAGGGAGGUAGUGACAAGAAAUAACAAUAAACCGGCUUAUGCCGGUUUAAUUGGAAUGAGUACAAUUUAAACAUCUUAACGAGGAACAAUUGGAGGGCAAGUCUGGUGCCAGCAGCCGCGGUAAUUCCAGCUCCAAUAGCGUAUACUAAAGUUGUUGCAGUUAAAAAGCUCGUAGUUGGAUUUCUGUGGGGACGGAGCGGCCGGCCGCACAUCGCGGUUCGAGCUAGCGCUUUCCCUACAUCCUGCCGCGAACCGUGCUACCAUUAGUUUGGUGGCGCCGGGGAUCGGCUCGAUUACUUUGAGAAAAAUAGAGUGUUCAAAGCAGGCCACAUGCCUUGAAUAAGUUAGCAUGGAAUAAUAACUAAGGACUUCGGUUCUAUUUUGUUGGUGUUCGGGACUGAAGUAAUGAUUGAUAGGGACAGUUGGGGCGGUCUGUAUUCCAAAGCGAGAGGUGAAAUUCUUAGACCUUCGGAAGACAAACAGCUGCGAAAGCGUUCCGCAAGGAUGUUCCCUUUGAUCAAGAACGAAAGUUGGGGGAUCGAAGACGAUCAGAUACCGUCGUAGUCUCAACUAUAAACUAUACCAGCUAGGGAUCGGCCAACGUUAUUUUAUACCGACUUGGUCGGCACCUUAUGAGAAAUCAAAGCAUCUGGGUUCCGGGGGGAGUAUGGUCGCAAGGCUGAAACUUAAAGGAAUUGACGGAAGGGCACCACCAGCCGUGGAGCCUGUGGCUUAAUUUGACUCAACACGGGAAAACUUACCAGGUCCAGACAUAGUAAGGAUUGACAGAUUGAUAGCUCUUUCUUGAUUCUGUGGGUGGUGGUGCAUGGCCGUUCUUAGUUGGUGGAGUGAUUUGUCUGGUUAAUUCCGUUAACGAACGAGACCCCAGCCUGCUAAAUAGCGCGCGUGAGCUUUGCUCGCGGCGAGCUUCUUAGAGGGACUAUGAUGCGCGAUAGCACAUGGAAGUUUGGGGCAAUAACAGGUCUGUGAUGCCCUUAGAUGUUCUGGGCCGCGCACGGGCUACACUGGCGCCUGCAACGAGCAUAUCAGCUGGCCCGAGAGGGUCUUGGCUAAUCUUUUGAACCGGCGCCGUGCUUGGGAUUGACCUUUGCAAUUGUUGGUCAUGCAACGAGGAAUGCCUUGUAAACGCGAGUCAUCAGCUCGCAUUGAAUACGUCCCCGCCCUUUGUACACACCGCCCGUCGCUCCUACCGAUGAAUGUUCCGCUGAAAUUUUCGGAGAGCACCUGUGAACUUGGCUCUGCCUUGCGAACGGGAGGCUCAAAGUCACUAAAUUCUGAACAUUAA
rnacentral:rRNA from 1 species